rnacentral:rRNA from 1 species
GACGAACCGUGCGAACGUUGUUCGGAAUCACUGGGCUUAAAGGGCGCGUAGGCGGGCAUCAUAGCCAAGGGUGAAAGCCCCCGGCUCAACCGGGGAAGGGCCUUUGGAACUGGAUGCCUCGAGGGGUGCAGGGGCGUGCGGAACUCAGGGUGGAGCGGUGAAAUGCGUAGAUAUCCUGAGGAACACCGGUGGCGAAGGCGGCACGCUGGACACCUGCUGACGCUGAGGCGCGAAAGCCAGGGGAGCAAACGGG